rnacentral:lncRNA from 1 species
GAGAGAGAGUAGCUGAAGUCUACUGACUUUAAUGAAAUUCUCUGUGAAGAGUCUGGGAGGGACGGUUUAGGUAAUCCAUCUACAAGGGUGCUCAGAGAGUUUGGAGCGAAGCGAUUGGUGUCGUUAUGAUGGCAUUCUAUGGCACAGUAGUUACAGUGCACCAGGCACUCUUUUAAAGACUUCUCAAGUGUUCAUUCAUUUAAUUCUUACCACAACCCUGUGAGGGACUUCCUGUUAUUGUCUCCGUUUUACUGGUGAGGAAGCUGAAGCAGAGAAGUUAACUACUUUGCCCAAGUUCCUUUCCUCCUUUGAGGAUAAGGAGCCAAAGGUUCAGGAAUGCCCAAAUCACAUCCCUCUUCUUGUCCAACCACCCAACCUCUCCACAGGCAACCUGAUCAGCCACCUUUAUACAAAGUACAGUAUUCAGAUUGGAAUAAAAAUAUAUCUCCUUGACUCCCUGCUCUGAGAGGUAUUUCUUCUCAGACUCCCAAAAGCUGGAUUGAGGAACAUGGCUUAGUUGGUACAGUAUAGCAAAAUGUCCUGCUUGUUGAAACUGAAUUUGUGAUUAUCUUCUUUUUCCUCAAGAAGUCAUUGAGGGCUGUUGUAUCCCUAUAAAAGGAGAAUUUAGAGUAGCCAAAUAAAAGGGGGCUGAAGUAGUCUCAUUACGGAAAAAGAGAGUGUGAGCAGCCUUUUAGUAAUUGAUUGCCUCAAGAUGUGGUAUUCAGCCAGGGUGAAGGGAAAGUAGUUGGGGCUGUGGAUCUGGAGGUUUACAGAAGCCUUUACCCAUCCUGAGACUCAGUUCUGCUGUUGGUCUUCAGAGAAGUGUCUGCACCUGCUGAGAAGAAAUCACACCACUGCACUCUAGCCUGGGCAACAGAGCGAGACUCUGUCUCAAAAAAAAAACAAAAAAAAAAAACAAAAAAAAGAAAUCAGACAUCUAAAUAUGUACAAAAAACUAAUAAACCUCUGGAAAAAUGGACUCAGAAUAAAGACAUAUACAAAUAAAAAAUAUUUGGAAUGCGUACUAAAUGCCACUGAAUUGUACACUUUAAAAUGGUCAAAAUGGUGAAUUUUUUGUAACUUUUACCACAAUGAAAAUUUUGGAACAAAAAGGGGGGAUAGAACUAUGGGUAGAAUACAGAAGAAUCAGGCCAGGGAUGAUGGUUCACACCUGUAAUCCCAGCACUUUGGGAGACUAAGGCGGGAGGAUCACUUGAGGCCAGGAAUUUGAGACCAGCCUGGGCAACAGAGUGCGAUUGCCAUCUCUACCAAAUAUCUAUGUUCAUAUAUAUAUAUAUAUAUAUAUAUAUAUAUAUAUAUAUAUAUAUAUAUAUAUAUAUAUAUAUCAUACCAUUUGAUGUGAUGUCUAGUAAUUGCUUUAAAAUACUUCAUCAAAAUGUGGGGGAUGAGACAAAUUAUGCAACAUAUUGAUAAUUCUUGAAGCUGAAUGAUGAGUACAUGGGGAUUCAUCAUUCAUUUUCUAUAAUUUCAUGUGGGUUUGGAAAGUUCCAUUGAAAAUGUUAAAAACAACCCGCUCCUCCUGCCAAAUCAUUUGAAAACUUAAUUUGGGGAGUUUCUUAGAGCUGAGUUGACCUUUAAAUAUUAUUAAGUAUUAAAGUCUCUAGUAGCUCAGAGUUAAAGGGUAUUCCCAGCAAGUUUAAGAGAUGAGGAAGGGCCCUGAAUGUGAGCCAGAGCUACUAAAGUAGGAUGUGCCACAGGCCACCUCUCUUUCUGCUCUGGUUCCUGUGAAACAUAGUGCUUGUUCCAGUAACGUCACCUCUAGGAAUGUAUCCUCAGGAAAUAAUCGUUCACAUGUGCAAACCUGUAUGUGAAUAAGGAUGCUUUUCUCAGUGGGUUUAUAACAGUGAAACAAGGAAACAAGGUAAUGAAUGGCUCUAAAGAGGCUGGUUUAAUAAAUCAUGGAUACAAGUAAAUAAUUGGAUUUAAUGCAGUUAUGAAAAAUAAUCUAAACACCUUGGACCUCAGUUGCCUGGUUUUUAAAUGAAGAAAGCCAAAGAAGAAUUGUAUUCCUCAACUAGUUUUAGGAGGCCAGCAAACCUUUGAUACCAAAAUCUCACAAAGACAUUAUACAGAAAGGAAAAUUACAGGUGAAUCUCUCUUACAGACAUAGAUCUAAAAAUCCUAAACAAAAUAUUAGCAAAUUGAAUCCAGCAAUAUAUAACAAUUGUAAUAAAUCAGGACCAAAUCUUGUUUAUUUCAGGAAUGCCUGGUUGGUUUAUUAUUAGAAACCCAAAUAAUGUAAUUUAGCAUUUUAACUAAUAAAUGAGAAAAAAGCAUAUAUAAUAGAUACAGAAAAAGCAUUUCAUAAAAUUCAGCAUCCAUUGAUUAUUUUAAAAACUUAUGGUAAAUUAGGAAUGGAAGGAAACAUUUUUAAACUGAUAAGUGGUAUUUACUAAAAACCUGCAGCAAGCAUCCACUUAAUGUUGAAUUGCUCAAAGUGGUCCCUUGAGUUCAGGAAUAGGACAAGAAUGUCUCUUCUCACUAGUUGUACUCUAGGUCCCAGUCGAUGCAGUAAGGUAAGAAAAAGAAAUGUAUAUGGAUUGGGAAAGAAGAAAUAAAACUACCAUCAUUCACAGAUGACAUGCUUGUGUAUGCAGAAAAUUCUAAGGAAGCUACAGAUUAAAAUUAUUAAGAGAUUAGCAAAGUCAGUGUACAAUAUCAACAUCAAAAGACCAGUUAUAUUUCUAUAUACCAUCAACAAGCCCUUAGAAAAUGAAAUUUAAACCAAUAUUUAAUUUAUAGUAGUAUACACAAUUACCUUGAACUAAAUGUAAUAAUAGACGUACAAAACCUCAAGCAAAAGUUAUGAAGCUUUGUUGACAAUGUCAAGUGUUUGUGAGGAUGUGGAGCAACAGGAACUCUCAAACAUUGAUGGUGGAAGUGGGAAUUGGUACAACUUUGAUAUACAGUUUGGUGGUAUCUAGUGAAGUUGAAAAUAUACACAAUCUAUGAGCCAGCAAUUCCUCUCCUACAUAUAUACCUUGUGUGUGCACAUAUGUACCAGGAGACAUUAAAAACAUGUUCUUAGCAACAUUUUUCAUAAUUGUCCCCAACUGGAAACAGUCCAAAUGUCCACCGACAGUAAAAGGAUAAUUUCUUGUAAAGUCGUAGAAUGGAAAGCUGUAACACAAUACUGAGAAUGAUGAACCGAUGCCGCAUGCAACCAGGUUGAAUCUCAGAAGCAUAAUUGUAAGGGCAAUGAGCUGGAUAUAGAAGGAUAUAUGCAUUAUAGUUCUAUUUACAUAAAGCUCCAGAAACAGUAGUGUUUGGGCAUCUAUAUUUGAGUGGUAAAGCUAUAAAGGAAAGUAAGAAAGCAACAGCUAAAACUGUCAUGAGAGUGUUUUGUUUUGUUUUGGAGAGAGGAAAGAGGUUGUGAUUGGGCAAGGACUUAUGGGAAUUUCUGGAGUUCUGAUCUGUUCUGUUUCUUGAUCUUUAUGGUGAUUUGCUUUAUAAUAAUUUGUUAAGCUGUAAAUUUAUAUUUUAUGCACUUUCCUCUGCUCCCCCCGCCCCCCGCUUAAAGAGUGUUUUAGAAUGUGGAAAUUUUAAGAUAAGAUCUAUCUCAGGGCUUGUUGUAAGAAUGAAAUGAAGUAUAAAGCCAUGUAGAGCUUGUAGAAUAUGCCUGGC